AAAACCUGCCUUCUGGCUCCAGCACGUUCACACAAAGAGUUCCUUGUCACAGACGCCAGAACAAGUGUGUCUUCUGUUAUCGUGUUGGUCUGGGAUCAGCACAUCCCCCACCUCGCAAAGGGCCUACUGUAUCACUGCAAAGUCUAAGCUCAUCAAGUGAGAGAUGCUUUAAAAGACAAAAGUCCUUAGGCCAGAUCUAUCUCCCUGACUGAAGGAAAAGAAAUGAGGGAAACCCACAGAAGCAAAGUGAUGUGUUC
rnacentral:lncRNA from 1 species